rnacentral:rRNA from 1 species
UACGUAGGGCGCAAGCGUUGUCCGGAAUUAUUGGGCGUAAAGAGCUCGUAGGCGGUUUGUCGCGUCUGCUGUGAAAACUCAGGGCUUAACCCUGAGCCUGCAGUGGGUACGGGCAGACUAGAGUGUGGUAGGGGAGAUCGGAAUUCCUGGUGUAGCGGUGGAAUGCGCAGAUAUCAGGAGGAACACCGGUGGCGAAGGCGGAUCUCUGGGCCAUGAACUGACGCUGGAGGAGCGAA